rnacentral:rRNA from 1 species
UACGGAGGGUGCAAGCGUUGUCCGGAAUCACUGGGCGUAAAGGGCGCGUAGGCGGCUCAUGAAGGCUGUGGUGAAAGUCCGGGGCUCAACCUCGGAUCGGCCGUGGCGACUCGUGGGCUGGAGCACUGUAGAGGCGGGUGGAAUUCCGGGUGUAGCGGUGGAAUGCGUAGAGAUCCGGAAGAACACCGGUGGCGAAGGCGGCCUGCUGGGACAGUGCUGACGCUGAGGCGCGACAGCGUGGGGAGCAAACAGG